UACAUGACGUAUAGGUGAACAAAAUAAGUCACGGCUGGUUAUAUUAUAUUAUAUUGCACUCGCAUUAUACAAAAUGUGUACUAAUGUUACAAUAUAAUAAAAGUGUAAUUAAAAAUAAUUUCAUUAAAAAAAUAAUUUUUUACAGUAAUUUAAAGCAUAAUCACUCUGCACGUACUUCAAUGUAUCAUGGUGUGAAUUGCAUACGAAGAUAUCAUGCAUAAGUACGAGUUACAAUAACAAGAUACUACACAUUAUUGCGCUUGAUCUCAUUCAACCUAAUAUCAGGUAAGCAAUGAAUUAAUGUCGAGGAACUAACUAAAUAUUAAUUUUCGCGUGAACAAAAUACUGAAAUCUAAACCAUUUCCGUGAGCGAUCAUAUUAAAAACCUACUGCAAUUCGUAAAGCUAACUAUUCCAGACUUAUUAAUAUUCAAGAUAAAAUUCAGUGUCUAUGACGUGUCAGAAAGCAUAUUCCUCAGUUGUUCUCAUUGCAUACUUUCAGUUGUUCGUUGUGUACGUAUUAAAUUGUAUAUAUAGUAAAAUUACAUUAUUAUGGCGACGCCGCUUGGGUCGCACAAAACUAAUAAGUGGCUGACGACACACAUUGUUAACAUUCAAUUAUGAACCCAUAAUAUUAUAAUUUCGUUAUUACAUUAAAUGCAUUUACAUCCCA